UUUAUGCUUAAUUGGUUGACUUAAUGUUUGGGUAUUUUUAAUUGUUUAAUUCACUCAAUGAAACUUUCUUACUAUUUUUUAUGUUCCCUCAUUUGAAAAAAUUAAACGUUUGACUUUCUGGUUAAAGCUAAAUAGGCUAGCAUACUGUGCUAUGCCUCUACAACAAAGGCUGAUUUGCUAGAAGAAAAUGUCCAUUCUCCUUGAAAUAUGUUAUUUAUGUAUGAUCACUUUAAUAGAAACUCUUCUUAUUCUGAUAUUAAUCUCCUUUUAUUUAGCCAAAACUUUUGUAUAGUUUUUUUUACGAUUUCAUGAACUUUUGAAUUUAUGACAGUUACACUGUAAGAUUACACAUUUUUCAGCUUUUUGUUCAUUGUUACUUUUAAAUUGUUAUCCACUAACACAUUUUAUUUCUACCUUUUAGUGAUUUAUGCAAUGUUUACCUAAUGUUUUUAAUGUUAUUUGUACAUAAUUUCCUGUGCAAACACUUAAAUGUUGAUUUUCUUUUUUUUUUAUUGCCAUUUUCCCUUUUUCAAAGGACUGACCUCAGGUUUAACAGUCAAAGUGGUCUUCCUAACUGUUUUGCUAGCUCUUUUAAUGAAAUACUAUAGUCUUGUAAGCAUCAGAAAUAUACUUUAUUGGAUUAUGUAGGGGUAUUACUUCAGAAAUGGCCUUCCUUUGAUUAAGUAUUUUAAAAAUAUUUAUUUCUUUGGUUAUUUUACCGGAUGCACAGUUGUUAAGCACUAUUCUGUUAGUCUUCCAUUGCAAUCACCGAUCAUGCCCGUUUUCUGACUGUGACUGUUUCAGACCUUCUUUAAUGAAGGUAACUCCUCUGCACAAAAAUGUCCUCUUAGGGAACAGAGAUGUACUCUAACUUGAAAAUGUUUACUUCAGGGUAUGAAUGUGAGAUAAUGAUCAUCCCAUACUUAAAACAUCUAAGAUCACAUAAAAUUGCACUUUACUAUGGUAAACUUUCAUAAUAAAGUUCUAUAUUCUGAUUUGGAGAAGACUUAACUGGUUGGUGUGAAUUUCGGAGAUUUAAAAAAAAAAACACUUCAAUGUGCAUGUUUUAUGGUAUGGUGGGGGCGAAAAUUACUAUGAAAUUAAAAUAAUAUACUUCUAGCAAGGAAAGAAAGUAGCAGCCUAAAGACAAGGAAAAGACUUAACUGUGGUCUAGAAGUGCCAGUAAUGUUAUUAAGCUUUGCAGUUUACCAGAAUUGUGUUGAACAUCCAUAGUAUCUAUUCAGUGGAAGAAAAUAUGAGGUGUAAUAGCAACCAGCUUGCCUUUAUUAAUGAACUCUUUAAUGUGUGAAUCUCAAGAAAGGUGCAUAUAACGUGGAACAACAAGAUCAAGCCUAUUUUUAUGCAGUUAGUAAUGCUUUAGUAUUUUACGAAAUAAAAAAAAAAAAAAAAAGAAAAAAAAAAGGAGAUUAAGAGAAAAGGUCAUGGGGAAACACAGGGUAAGAAAACUCAAAUUCUUAAAGUGAAGGCAAAGAAAAGUAUUUGGCUGCAUGAUCAAUAUAAAGCUGAGAAUAAAAAAUGAAAGACUGGGUAUUAGAGAUUGAAAUUAGUGUAUUUUGUCCUGCCCAAAUUUGUCCUUUAGUCCUAGUAAAUACUAAAUAUCAUUAAGAAGAAAUGCUUAUUUAUCUAUAGGAUUUGUUUAAUGGAUGGAUGUGCUUUUUGUUUGUUUUUGAUUUGUGAUUUUUUUGUUUGCUUUGUUUUGUUUUUAAUGGGAGAAGGAAGUCUGCCUUUCAUCAGUUUCACAAGUUUGGACUAAUGAGUUCAGCUUCUGAAGAAACACAAGAAGAAAUCAUUUCAGUACUUCUAAGUCAACACAAAGACAGCAAGGGAAGACGACAAAGGAAUAAGCAAGGACCAGCAAGAAUUUGGCAGGAGCAUUAACUUCUGCUAGCUUAUUUUUCUGGCUUGAUAAUCAUGCCCUUGAGUCAUGUCUUGACUUUUGUUAAGGGUUUUGGUGACACCUGUGAGAAUCUCCUAUGAAUCUCCUAUAUUGCUAUGAAGCAAUAUGACAUAAAAUAAAUUGCUAUAGGGUGGACAUAAAUUGUUGAAAAAUUGUACUGGAAUAAAACUGUUUUUAUUACAUUUGCAGAUCACAUACUGGAAGGACAACAAAUGCCCUUGACAAACUGGAGAAGGAGUUGAAAAAUAGGAUACAGGUCAGUGAUAAGAUUAUACAACAAGCAUGAAUAGAGGAUCGGGAAAUGAUGUAGAUAGCAACUCUGCUGCGUUGGCCCCCAGCUAUGAGCAGCAUUUUUUGCAGCACUUAGUACAACAUUAAUUCAGUCUGUUACCUGGACUCUCAGCUACCUGUCAGAGGAGAAUAACUACAAGUUUUGAAGAAGGCUUGAUUCUGGGCUGGGACAGCUCAGCCUUACGCCUGGUCUUAAGUGUUCCAAGUCUGCAGGGCUCGUGGCUCAAGGCAGUCCCCCUGCUCCCACGAGCAAGAGGCCCUGCUGACCCUUUUGAGGACCUACCUGGACAUGGUGCCAUUAAAUGCACUGGGACUUUGCUAGCUCACCAUACCUGAUGAAUUUGUUUCAUCACCCUUGGGAGUAACUGCUGAUCUACAUAAGUGUUUUCAUCCUGUACUGGGGCUCUACUGUAUCAAGCAUUACACUCUUCCUCUGGAUCUGCAGGCUUCAAGAGGAUCCCCUACCACAUGUUGGCAGCUCAUGGGGUUAAGUUUCCUUUCUGUUUGUGUGUAUGGAAAGGGAGUGUCUGUAGGAACCCUGCUGGGAUCACUCCCUGACAACUGUCUACUCAGAGCCAAUGAGGUGGAGGGGACAUUUUUCACCAGUUCCAAUUUGUCUGCUUGUUAACGUACGUGAAAAAUAUAAUCUACUCUUCUUCCAGAGUAAAGGGUAGCUAGCACAGAGGACAAUAGAGUUGCCCUCACAUUCAUUUGAUUUUAAUGAAAAACCAUACUGUACAACAAACCUUUCCCAGAUACAUAGAUUAAGGGAGGAAGGAAAAAACACAAAGACUAAGGCUGCAAAAUAUGGAGAUGUUUUAAAUGAAUUGGAUGUUCUUACAGUAAUUAAAAUUCUUGAUAUCAGCCAGUAGAGUGGCAGAAAGUUCUCAACAAUAUUUAUAGGUUUCUUCCUCCUUAGGUAACAACGCUUCGGAACAUUUUAGCAACCAAAUUAAAAGCUGCCUGUGAGGGAGGAGGAGGAAGAGACAGUGAACAGGAAGUACUUAUGAAGAACUCAUGCAUGUGUUCACUCAGAUAUCUUUACAUCUAAAUAGCAUGUAGUCAUUGCUUCAUAAGGUUUGUACUUUGGAUUGCACACCUCUUGGAGAAAAUGGACAAUUAAUAAUUUGCAUAUAGGCAGUGAUUACUGAAAACAGCAAAAUUAAGGUACAAUUUUUUUAAAAGAAAUAUUGAAAAAGCAAAUGUUGAAAUUUCUCAUGCCAAGAAACAUGUUAAUGAACUCUGUGCAUGUUUUGAAAAUAACAGUAGCUUUCUACUAGUUAAAAAAAUAGUAAUCAGAUUUAGGAUUUUAGAAAUAAAUUCUAUAGAAUAUAUUCUCUGAGUUCAUUCUAGUUUUUCUAAGUAUUUUACAUCAAAUGUUCUGAAACCGUAAUAAAGUAGAUGAUAUAACUACUCUUGAGCCCCAGUAGGAAAGCAUAACACCCCUAAAGAUUAAGAAUUUCCCAUAUCAUCCUCUUCUGUGCCUGUCCUGACUGCUUUUGGAAACUAAACUAGCAUAAUGCACGAGUUUAUAUAAAUCAUGAGUUAUACCACAGGAGUUUCUUGUUCUGCAAAUGCCUUUAAAACAGCACUGUGGGUCCAACUGUCUCUUUUGCUUAAGCUUAGAGUGAGGACUCUGGCUUCACCACAGGAGCAGCCUCAGCAAGAAGUUUAAACUCAGAGGAUUCAACUGGCAAAAGAAGAUACGCAAAGGAAUAAGAUUGCCUGUUGCUGCCAACUAUGGUGUCGUUGACAAAUUACAGUCUUGCUGCUCAAAGGCAGGGCACUCAAUAGGAGAAUGGCCUACCUAAGAAUUCUGACUUCUCCGGUUUUAAAUAUACAUGGAUCAAACCAGUCCUUAAGCUGGUUAACUGUUUAUCAUAAUUUAAAUUUGAAACUGAGGAAGAAUUCUAACCCCUGCUUCGAAAUCACGUGAAUAGCAAAACAGCUCUUCCUGGAAGUCAGCCAAGGGAUCUACACAGUUACAGCUCAAUUCACACUUGAUGCUCUGAAGAUUCUGUGAUGCAAGAUGUUUAGAGGGCACUGUGCAAGGGCUCAGAGGACUUGUUCACUUCCUGGCGCUUCCAGACUCUGCUGGAUACCCUGUCCGAGGCUAAGUUCCGCUGUCUAUCUGCCUUUGUCAUCUUCUCUGUGAGAAAACAGAGAGUACACAACCAUAUCCUGGUAAAGCACUUUAAGGAAGGAAACAGAUCCCAGCAAGAGGAGUUUCUUUUACAGUGUCACCUCAAAGAGACUGAUCAGCCUACUUGUACCUCUUCAAACCGCAGUGAACAAAAUGAUGCUGCAUAUGACAGCAGUCAGGAGAACAGCAGACCAGCGCCUCCCGCAGAUCUAUAUACACCACCAGUAUUAUGUCAGCAAGGCUCUAGUAGAGGUCUAACACUUGAUCUUUAAAGUAUUGGGUCACAUUAACAGAAAAGAUUCCUAUCUUUUAUAUUCUAAAAUAUGUGAAAUCAGUGUGUUAGAGUAACUAUAAAGGUAAUAUGUUUUGUGUUUCUGAAACUCUUAUUAUCACAGAAUAAUAUAGGAAUAAUGCUGAUUUACAAUCAGAUCCUUUUUUCUUCACCUUCAUCCAUUUCUGCUGUCAUCCACUGAAUAUGUGUGUGUAUAUAUAUAUAUUCCUGAUAUGUAGAAUUUUGACCCCAAAAAAAUUUAAUCUAUUUUUUCUAAUUCUUUUCUGAUUCCCUUCACACUCUUGCUUGUUUUUUUUUUUUUUUUAUAUAAAAAUACGCAAUUCCAUAUGAAAGGGAUUUAUUUAAAAAUAAAUGCCAAAUUUUAACUGUCAAAUACCGUUCUUUUCCUACAGCUAUUCGUAACUCCUUUCAGUGAUACCUAUCUAUUGUUUCUCUCUGGUAACAGUGGUGAGCCUUUAGUGCAAAAUAGGAGAUACAAACAUUGGAGAAAGAGACACUUCUUGAUUUUUAAGAUGAAACAGCAUCCUGAUUUAUUUAUUGCAAAAUGACAAUAGGAUGUCAAGGAAGUAGGUAAUACGUUACUGCUUUGCAACAACUGGGCAGGUAUGACUGAGAGACCAAACUGCCAGACUCAGGCAGUAAAGUGAUUUAACAGGUGCCUGAAACCACUUUUGAAAGAUUUGAAACCAUUCCAUAAAAGCCAUAAGAGCAUCGUGAUGUACUCUGCUAAUCUAAAAUUGCACCAUCUCUAGAGACUGGAAGCACUUGGCCUUCAGCCUUGGUUUCGUAACAGGUUGGGUUUAUUGUCACAGUUAAAAUACAGUUCAUUCUCUAAUGUAGCAAAAUGCUAAUCAUCAGAAAGCUAAAAAACUCAAACUUCCAUGUUAAUUAAGUUAAAAAAAAAUAGAAUGAUCUAACUAUGAGAGAAAAGCAUAUUGGAAAAUACAUUCUUGUAGCCAAACUACAGCUGGUAUGCCCUACUAACAUAAUCAUAAAAACAUUUUAGGUUCCAUGAAACACUGAAAUAAUAAAUUUUCCUAAAUACUGUCAAGCAGCUGAAAAUAUGGUAACGUGCACUUUUUCAGAAAAGCUACAGAUGUGCUAGAGUACAAGUAUAAAACAGAUAAAUAAGCACAGGUCCUACCAUUCACUUACCCGUUCUCAGUGACGGGUGUUCCAAAAAGGGUGUAGGAUGUACACAAAGGAAUUAAAAGAAAUUGUUACAUUAGGCAUGUUUAAACUUACAACCACUUUUAUGCAAAUCUCUCACCAACAGAGCCUCUCAAAAAUAGUUAUAGAAAGGUUCUACUGGGUGCCAAGUGUUAUUUUAUUAGAAGAGAAUAUUUGAUAGGUUUAUGCCAAUUUUGCAUAAUAUGAAAUACUGUUGUAAUGUACUGUUUCUUCAUACAUGUUACAGUUUCAAAACAAAACUUUUUAAAAAAAUGAAUAGAGUUUGGAAUACGGGUAAUUUUGAUAUCGUGACUCUUUCAAUUCAGAAUGAAAGGAAAUAUUCUCUGUAUCAGAAAGUUCAUUGCCUAUAUGCUCUUACACAUUAAAAAAUCCUGCUCCUAGUGAAGAAGGCUU